UGUCGCCCUGGCUCUCCCAGAACCGGCUCCCUUCGCCCUGGCACCAGCACGGGAGGGAAAACUGCUCGCUGGGAAACAAGCCUGACUCAUCUGAGCCAGGCCCUGGCAGAUGCUGGCAGGAGCAGCCUCAUCUCACCACCCCGGGAAGGAGGGCAGCGCUGUGCUGGAACAGGAACGCCGCACGUGGGUCACAAGGGGUUUCUGGUGAGGCAGUCUGGCUGCCCCAGCCAUGCCUCACUUCUUGGAUUGGUUCGUGCCUGUGUAUCUGAUGAUCUCCAUUCUCAUCCUGGUGGGCUUUGGAGCAUGCAUUUACUACUUCGAGCCAGGACUCCAGGAAGCCCAUAAGUGGCGAACACAGAGGCCAAUCAUGGAACGGGACUUGCGGAAGACGCUGAUGAUUCGGGAUAACCUUGCCUUUGGGGUGCCUGAGGUCUAAUAUGCAGCCCACAAGGGGUGUGCUCUGGGUGCUGAAUCCAGAGGAGCCUCUCGUGGGUGGGUGGACAUCUACAGGCCUUGGUCAGGAUGACAGGUCUCCCAUGUGCAAGUGGGGCGGAUUGUCACUUUGUUCUUUGCUGAUACAGCUCUCUUACCGUUCACCUUUCUUUCCCUUCACUCCUUAGGCGAUGUUUGUGUGGCACUGCAGACUCAGGGCUUUCCACCUGCCCAUAGCCCUUUACCCAGCAAAGGACUUUUGCACCUCCCAUGGCUGGGAGUGAUGAAUCACUAAAACGAAAGGUCUGUUGUUAUUCACUGUUGAGUUUGAGCUGCCAUGCAUCUUGACCUGACCUUCACAAAGAAAGGUCUCUGCAGGGGUACUGGGCUUCCAAGAGGAUAUACAGCCUUUUACUCCUAGUUGGUGGGUUAAAUCUAACCUGGUCUGCUUAAGUCAGAGAGGUGUUUUUGGUGAAAUGAAUUCGGUGGCUUUCAGCCCAGUUCUUUGCUUCAGCUGAGCUCUUCACAACAAUCACCCUUGGCAAUGUGUUGGUAAGCUUGCUGAAGCUCUGUGCAGAGGGGCCAAGGACUGACCAAGCCCUGGAGACUGAAUGCCUUUUUCCCUGCUAAAAGUGCACUGCUUUUUUGUGUCUGUUUUGGAGAUGGAGAGUUUCAGAGUUUGGAGCUCUCAGUCUAGCAUUUUCAUUAAGUACAACGUUCACAUUAAGAUCUUUACUGAAGAGGUUUGUCCAAGUCCUGUGCCAAGCAGAGAAUAUUCUGCACUGCUCCAUGAAGGGAGAUUUAGCUCAUAAGCCUCUGCCAGAUUUAGCUCAUAAGCCUCUUCUGGUCCACCAUGAGGCACUUGAUCUUCUGCUCCUCUCUGCAACUGCAGGAAAUGCGAUACUUUUCUAUGAAUUGAUUUGCACUUGUUCGAUUCUCUGCAUCCCAGAGUCAUAUUGUGUGAAUCCCUGGAGCAGUGGGUGCCACUCUCCCUUCACUCUCAUCCUCACUGAAAGCUGUGAAACAUUCCUUGACCCCCCUUUCCCUGCAUGUCUCUGGGAAGGGACACUGAACCAUUCAGUGAAAUGGGCCAGUCGCACUGCUUGUGUUUUCUGGACUCAAGUUGUAUAAUGUGGUUCUUGCACAAAAUCCUGUGUUUAUAUACAGUAUUUGCACUUUCUGCACUCCCCUUGGGCUGAUCUGCUACCAAAGCACUGUAAGAAGAUGAGAAGCUGCAAGUAACUGGAGCAUGUGCACCUUUCCCCUCCCUGCCGGUGGUGUGCAAUGCCCAGGGUCAAGUUAAGCCUUGGGGGAGCUCUGAACCCAUGACAGGAGGUUUUGUCGAGAGCCAAGUCUGGCUCUUGUUGAUGCAUAUCAUGCUGACGUGUCACUGUUGUAUACUGUGCCCCUGCCUUCACCUCCGUAGGACGCUGUAAUGAGCCGUUGCUGGCCCAGCCAGUGUGAAAGUACAUGGUGCUGCUCUCCUGUGCCAUCCACAGCACCCUGGUCACAGCGCUCACUUUUCCUCCCACCCAAAAAACACUCUUUGGAUAUGCAAGCUACAUCGGUGAUAGCUGUCAGCGCUCUGGCCAGUGGGGUCCUAUGUGCCCCGCUCGCGCACAUCUUGGAGGAUGUCAGCCGGCUGCCAUGACCCCAUGUGCAUGUGUCCAAGCAUCCCAUGGUGCCGCAUGCACAUGCUGGUAUCAGGACGAUCCAUGUCCCCAGGCUGCUCCCAGGGCACCAGCUCUGUGCCAUAGCCUGCAACAGCUCCUUUGGGCAGCAGGAGUCCCUCAGUCCAGCUGUGGAAAUAGGCUCCUUCCGUCACAGCUCCCAGAUGGGGUCAUGUCGCUCAGCCUCCAAGAUGAGAGUUCGGGAGCAUGCAAUAACGCUUCUUUGAAACUGUCAGCAGAGGUUUUCUCCUCCACUCCUGAGGGGAGGAGGAGACUGCACUAGGCUCAUUUAACUGAGUGAUGUGCCAUUGGUAAUUCUCUGAGGAUGAAGUUAAUUUUUAGCUGUAAGUGUUUUGAUUCAGGAGGUCGGGGCAUCUUGUAAAUAGCCUAGGUCUUUCUGGGGCUUUUCAUCCACCCAGAUUGCAACAAUAUUUAUUACCAAUUCCUUUCACAACAAAACUAGUGGGAGCUUUCUAGCUCUGUUUGAGCCAGAGGGCAAGUCAGGAGUCCCUCCAUUCAGCCAAAAGCAGAGAUCUUGAUGCAAGUGCCCUGAACUGGAGAGUCUCGCCCAGCAGGGAAAUGAAAUGAGCGGGAUGACUCUUGUGCUGAAAGUUACACUUGCUCAAGUGAGCACAGGUGCAGCCUGAAACAGGUACAUCCCAGGCGUUUUUGUGCCUUGGUGAAUUGGGUCUGUGGAAGGGAAAUACCGCAGGGCUGCACUGCAUGGUGACAGAUACUGUCCCCAGCUGCAUCGAUCAUCUCUCCUGCCCUCCAGCACAAUAUAGCCAUCGUCUUCAAGUGUCAGCUUGGAUACCUGCUUCCUAUCAUUGCUGGCAGCUAGGACUGCAAUGCAAACGGACCCCAGCCGGAAUAACAGGGUAGCAAUAAAAACCUUUGUACUAGAGAUCAGAGGCUCAGUGAGGCUGGGGACAGGCUAAACCGUCCCUGUGCAACAAGGUUGACUGCUGAACAGGUUUAUG